rnacentral:rRNA from 1 species
GCGGCCGUAACUAUAACGGUCCUAAGG